ACUAGCUGGACGGCGUUUGCCUACAACUUGGGGGCGGCUCGUUAUUUUUCACCAAUGAGGAUGACGGAAAAAGGCCCAGAGAAGUUUUUGCCAUAUUCCAUAUUGAUGACAAAGAGCCCGUGCCGUGCAGUCCUCCCUGUGAGCAUCUCCAGCUGGGCCAGCAUCUGCAUAGGGAACUCCUCCAGGUUAUUUCUUUCUCCCUGGCCUCAGCACUGUGGACCCUGGACUGGGACUGAGGACACACAGACCAUCAACAUUCAGGCCCCUGAGUGGAAGCUUCCCCUGGAUUCCUGACAACAAGGAAUGACUCAAUCCUCCAUCUACUGAAUGCAAAGCAAGCCCUGCAAGCAAACUCCAUACCAAGCUGAUGGCAUCUGACCCCCCAAAAUGCCUGUAACAGCUAAGCAGCCUGCUCAGCUGCUUUGGGCCACUGCUUCCUCCAUGGAGGGGAGAAAAGGGCAGGAGAGGCUGCCCUCUAAAAACCAGAAACCAAAUCAAACACAAGCAAAUCUCUCUGGCCCUCAGCUGUUUCCUCAGGAAAAAACAAAGGCCAUGCUGGCCAGAUGGGUCAAAGCGCCUGCUAUGUAUGUAAGCUGAAGAACUUGAGUUUGAACCCCAGAACUCAUGGUGGAAGGAGAAUCUGACUCCUGCAAGCUGUCUUCUGACCUCCACAUGCAUGCCACGAUGCCUGUUCUAUGCACACGUGUGAGUGUGCUUGUACACACAUGUACACACACACACACACACAUACACACACACUAUUAUAAUAAAAAAAAGAGAAAAGGCUUUCUAGCCAUCACACGG